CUCUAUAAAUUGGCCCUUGGCCGGCCACUCCCUCCUCCUUUGGUCAUUUUUCUCACACUCCACUCCCUCACACUCUCCUCUACCUCUCCCCCACGAAAAUGCUGCUGCCCCUUGCUCCCAUGGCCGGCCAUGGCCAUGGAAGGCACUCCAAGAUGAAGCUCCCUCCUCCCUCAAGCUCCUCCUCACCAUGAGAGCCUCCCUCUCCUUCUUCUCCCCAACCCUAGAUGGUUUUCUCUCCUCUUCCUCUUCCUCCAUUGCUAAGAUUGGAUCUUGAUGCAGGUGCAUGUUGGUCCAAGCAUGGAGAAGCUUGAGCUAUCCUCAGAUCUGAAGUUCUUGAGCAAAAUCCAAAUCGAGUGAUUCAAAGUUCCGCAGAUAGAUACGGAAAAGAUCUACAACUUGGCGUUGGUCUCAUCCUCAAAUUCGUUAUGGAUUGUCCGUGGUGAAAGCCCUCUUCAAUACCUUCAUUUUGGCGGUGGUUUCACUUCGAUUGACCUCCGGAAACAGAAAUGGUUCACAGGUCAAGAUCUGGUCAGAUCUGAAUUUGUCGAAUUAAACCAGGAGCUUGGGAACGAAUUUUUGAAUGAAACCAAUUGGGGGAUGUUGGGUUAUACCAUGGUGAUAACCGAGAGAGGCAAUUGCUAAGUUGUGAUACUCUCAUACCUUUACUAGACGCGAGCAAUUCCGGAGAAGAAGAAGAAGUGGAAUUGGACAAGGAUUUUAUUUAUAUUGUUGGGAUUCUUAUAUUGAUAGAGUUGAAGAAGUACAGGGACAAAUAAGCCAAGGCAAGCCAUCUUUUGAUCUCUGAUAUGAUGUCUCUUUGGAUGUCAUCUUGUGCUAUCAAUAGCAUCUUGGUUCUAUGUGUGAUGAUCUCCAUAUUGUUGUCAUCUAUGCUUGGAUGCAAGCAUGGUACCUCUAGUAGUUUUAUCUUGUCAAGGUCUUGGUAAUUGGUUGGGUGUAUGGUAUCAUGGCCAUUGCUAUCCAACUUGUUUUCUAUAUUUAGCUUGAAUAUGUUCCACCUCGGGACAAGAUUCAUACUACACCCCUUCUAGUGUAGAUGUAUCAAUACCAUGUUUUUGGUGUAUUCUCAAAUUGUGAUGAGUAUGCCUGAUUCCCUUAAUGGUGUUGGUGUUGGUCAAUUCUCAUCCCUAUCUAUUGAUUGGGUUAGAUAGCACCACAAAUCUGAAAGUAUAUUUUCCUCUUGUGUUGUCAUAAUACAUGCUUAGCUCAAGCAAGUAUGAUCCACUCCAAUACCUCUUUUUCAUACCCUCAAUGGCGUGAUGACCCUCAUCUCGGCCAUAAUGUUG